GAGGCUGCUACCCGAGCCCACAGACCGAGACUCCAACCUCACAAAAAUUAAUUGUACACAAGGGGGAGUGUUCUAAAGAAGUAUAAAUCAUAGCCAUUUUAUGUAGUGGGAAGCAAGUACAGACACAGUAGAAACUGUGCCAGUGAUGUAAUAAGGCAUUUGACUAACAUCCUGUAGAACUGGCAAAAGAAAAAAAAAAAAGCACUACAGUAAAUCCUUUUUUUGUUGUUUUUGUUUUUGAUACUGUAUUUCACUAAAUAGCCCUGGCUGUCCUGGAACUCAACCAGAGAUUAGGCUCCAACUCAGAAAUCCAUCUGUCUUUAACUACCAAGUGCUGGGCUUAAUGGCAUGAACCACACACCCAGCUUUAAAAUCCUUUUUUUUUUUUUUUUUUGGUGGUUUUUUUUUUUUUCUUUUGGUGUUUUUUUGAGUUCUGGAUCAAAGGCAUGUGCCACCAUCACCUGACUUUAAAAGUCUUCUUAAUACAUCCCUAGAAUGCACUUUAAAUUUCAUUUUGUUGUUAUUUGUCUUUUCCUAUGAAUGCAAAUUUGUCUUUUCCAUAAAAUGCAAAUAUGGAUCACAACUCUUAAAAAUACUAGGGGGUGUUCAGUGGAUAAUCCCAAGCUCCCAUAGCUAUGCUAUUUUGUACCAAAAACAUGUUUAUAAUGGUCAUCUUGAAGGAUAAAUAACAGCCUGAAUUAUCUAAAAAGAAUUCAGUUUGAAUUUCUAGUUAAUGGGGGAAAAUAUACUUUGGGAGGGGACACCUCAGCCAGCAAAAACUGAAAAAAAAGUAUAUUGACCUUCAACCAUAAUAUUAAAUUUCCCAUGAGACCAAUAUACUACUGAGUAUGAUGACAUAUGCUUUAAUUUCAGCAUUUAGGAGGGCGAGACAGAUAGACAUUAAGGCUGUCCUGAGUACUACACAGCCCACAAAGGGCCACAUACUGAAACUUUGUCUUAAAAAAGUAAAAGACCACUAUGCCUUAAGAUUUACACUGGGAGCUGGAGAGAUGGCUCAGCAGUUAAGAGCACUGGCUGCUCUACCAGAGGUCCUGAAUUCAAUUCCCAGCAACCACAUGGUGGCUCACAACCAUCUGUAAUGGGAUCUGAUGCCCUCUUCUGGUGUGUCUGAAGACAGCGACAGUGUACUCAUAUACAUACAGACAUACAUACAUCAUAUAUAAAUAUUCUUUUGUUUGGUUGGUUGGUUUUUCAAGACAGGGUUUCUCUGUGUAGCCCAGGUUAGCCUCGAACUCAGAAAUCUGCCUGCUUCUGCCUCCUGAGUGCUAGGAUUAAAGGUGUGUACCACCAUGCCCGGCUACAUACAUAAAUAUUCUUAAAAAAUAUUUAUAUUAGAGUUUGUUUGUUCCUGUACAAACUGAACAUUUUGCUUUGCCAGACAUGGUAGCAUCCUCCUGGGAUGCUGUCAUUCCUACAGACUGAGAAAGGAGGAUGGAGGACCCAAAGCCAGCCAAGCAUCACACCUGUGAUAGCAGUGCUCGGGAGGUGGGAGCCGAAGGAUGGAGUCAGGAGUUCAAAACCAUCCUCAGUCAUGUGUGAUGGUUGCACAUACUUGGCCCAGGGAGUGGCACUGUUAGGCGGGGUGGCCCUGUUGGAGUAGGUGUGUCACUGUGAGUGUGAGCUUUAAGACCCUCAUCCUAGUCGCCUGGAAGCCAGUCUUCUGCUAGCAGCCUUCAGAUGAAGAUGUAGAACUCUCAGCUCCUCCUGCACCAUACCUGCCUGGAUGCUGCCAUGCUCCUGCCUUGAUGAUAAUGGACUGAACCUCUGAACCUGUAAACCGGCCCCAAUUUAAUGUUGUCCCUAUAAGAGUUGCCUUGGUCAUGGUGUCUCUUCACAGCAGUAAAACCCUAAGACCUAUAGUCACUUGAGAAACCAGCCUGGCCAGCCUGGGUGUACUGGCUGGUUAUGUGUUUCAGCUUGACACAGGAUGGAGUUAUCACAGAGAAAGGAGCUUCAGUUGGGGAAAUGCAUCCAUGAGACCCAGCUGUGGGGCAUUUUCCCAAUUAGUGAUCAAGUGGGGAGGGCCCCUUGUAGGUGGUACCAUCCCUGAGCUGAUAGUAUUGGGUUCUAUAAGAAAGCAAGCUGAGCCUUUAAUCCCAGCACUUGGGAGGCAGAGGCAGGUGAAUUUCUGAGUGCAAGGCCAGCCUGGUCUGCAGAAUGAGUUCCAGGACAGCCAGAGCUACACAGAGAAACUCUGUCUCAAAAAGAGAGAGAGAGAGAGAGAGAGGGAGAGAGAGAGAGAGAGAGAGAGAGAGAGAGAAGGAAGGAAGGAAAGGAAGGAAGGAAAGAAAGGAAAGAAAGGAAGGAAGGAAAGGAAAGAAAGGAAGGAAGAAAGAAAGAAAG
rnacentral:lncRNA from 1 species